UACGUAGGCAGCAAGCGUUGUUCGGAGUUACUGGGCGUAAAGGGUGCGUAGGCGGCUUUUUAAGUCUGGUGUGAAAUCUCCCGGCUCAACUGGGAGGGUGCGCCGGAUACUGAGGGGCUAGAGUGUGGGAGAGGAAAGUGGAAUUCCUGGUGUAGCGGUGAAAUGCGUAGAUAUCGGGAGGAACACCGGUGGUGUAAACGGCUUUCUGGACCAUAGCUGACGCUGAGACACGAAAGCGUGGGUAGCAAACAGG
rnacentral:rRNA from 1 species